rnacentral:rRNA from 1 species
AGAAUCAACGCUGGCGGCGUGCCUAACACAUGCAAGUCGAACGCGAAAGGGGAGCAAUCCCUGAUUAGAGUGGCAAACGGGUGAGUAACACGUGGGCGACCUGCCUUCGAGUGGGGGAUAACCUUCCGAAAGGAGGGCUAAUACCGCAUGACAUACCGUGUUUGGAUACACGGAUAUCAAAGCCGGGGAUCGCAAGACCUGGCGCUUGAAGAGGGGCCCGCGUCCGAUUAGCUAGUUGGUGUGGUAACGGCUCACCAAGGCUCCGAUCGGUA